rnacentral:rRNA from 1 species
GGGCGUUAAGUUGCAGGGUAUAGACCCGAAACCCGGUGAUCUAGCCAUGGGCAGGUUGAAGGUUGGGUAACACUAACUGGAGGACCGAACCGACUAAUGUUGAAAAAUUAGCGGAUGACCUGUGGCUGGGGGUGAAAGGCCAAUCAAACCGGGAGAUAGCUGGUUCUCCCCGAAAGCUAUUUAGGUAGCGCCUCGUGAACUCAUCUCCGGGGGUAGAGCACUGUUUCGGCUAGGGGGCCAUCCCGGCUUACCAACCCGAUGCAAACUGCGAAUACCGGAGAAUGUUAUCACGGGAGACACACGGCGGGUGCUAACGUCCGUCGUGAAGAGGGAAACAACCCAGACCGCCAGCUAAGGUCCCAAAGUCAUGGUUAAGUGGGAAACGAUGUGGGAAGGCCCAGACAGCCAGGAUGUUGGCUUAGAAGCAGCCAUCAUUUAAAGAAAGCGUAAUAGCUCACUGGUCGAGUCGGCCUGCGCGGAAGAUGUAACGGGGCUAAACCAUGCACCGAAGCUGCGGCAGCGACGCUUAUGCGUUGUUGGGUAGGGGAGCGUUCUGUAAGCCUGUGAAGGUGUGCUGUGAGGCAUGCUGGAGGUAUCAGAAGUGCGAAUGCUGACAUAAGUAACGAUAAAGCGGGUGAAAAGCCCGCUCGCCGGAAGACCAAGGGUUCCUGUCCAACGUUAAUCGGGGCAGGGUGAGUCGACCCCUAAGGCGAGGCCGAAAGGCGUAGUCGAUGGGAAACAGGUUAAUAUUCCUGUACUUGGUGUUACUGCGAAGGGGGGACGGAGAAGGCUAUGUCGGCCGGGCGACGGUUGUCCCGGUUUAAGCGUGUAGGCUGACUUUCCAGGCAAAUCCGGAAGGUUAAGGCUGAGGCGUGAUGACGAGGCACCACGGUGCUGAAGUGACAAAUGCCCUGCUUCCAGGAAAAGCCUCUAAGCAUCAGGUAACAUCAAAUCGUACCCCAAACCGACACAGGUGGUCAGGUAGAGAAUACCAAGGCGCUUGAGAGAACUCGGGUGAAGGAACUAGGCAAAAUGGUGCCGUAACUUCGGGAGAAGGCACGCUGACAUGUAGGUGAAGCCCCUGCGGGUGGAGCUGAAGUCAGUCGAAGAUACCAGCUGGCUGCAACUGUUUAUUAAAAACACAGCACUGUGCAAACACGAAAGUGGACGUAUACGGUGUGACGCCUGCCCGGUGCCGGAAGGUUAAUUGAUGGGGUUAUCGCAAGAGAAGCUCCUGAUCGAAGCCCCGGUAAACGGCGGCCGUAACUAUAACGGUCCUAAGGUAGCGAAAUUCCUUGUCGGGUAAGUUCCGACCUGCACGAAUGGCGUAAUGAUGGCCAGGCUGUCUCCACCCGAGACUCAGUGAAAUUGAACUCGCUGUGAAGAUGCAGUGUACCCGCGGCAAGACGGAAAGACCCCGUGAACCUUUACUACAGCUUGACACUGAACAUUGAGCCUUGAUGUGUAGGAUAGGUGGGAGGCUUUGAAGCGUGGACGCCAGUCUGCGUGGAGCCAACCUUGAAAUACCACCCUUUAAUGUUUGAUGUUCUAACCUGGCGCCCUGAUCGGGCGUGGGGACAGUGUCUGGUGGGUAGUUUGACUGGGGCGGUCUCCUCCCAAAGUGUAACGGAGGAGCACGAAGGUCAGCUAAUCCUGGUCGGACAUCAGGAGGUUAGUGCAAUGGCAUAAGCUGGCUUGACUGCGAGAGUGACGGCUCGAGCAGGUGCGAAAGCAGGUCAUAGUGAUCCGGUGGUUCUGUAUGGAAGGGCCAUCGCUCAACGGAUAAAAGGUACUCCGGGGAUAACAGGCUGAUACCGCCCAAGAGUUCAUAUCGACGGCGGUGUUUGGCACCUCGAUGUCGGCUCAUCACAUCCUGGGGCUGAAGUAGGUCCCAAGGGUAUGGCUGUUCGCCAUUUAAAGUGGUACGCGAGCUGGGUUUAGAACGUCGUGAGACAGUUCGGUCCCUAUCUGCCGUGGGCGCUGGAGAAUUGAGGGGGGCUGCUCCCAGUACGAGAGGACCGGAGUGGACGCAUCACUGGUGUUCGGGUUGUCAUGCCAAUGGCACUGCCCGGUAGCUAAAUGCGGAAGAGAUAAGUGCUGAAAGCAUCUAAGCACGAAACUUGCCCCGAGAUGAGUUCUCCCUGAGACUAUAAGUCUCCUGAAGGAACGUUGAAGACGACGACGUUGAUAGGCCGGGUGUGUAAGCGCAGCGAUGCGUUGAGCUAACCGGUACUAAUGAACCGUGAGGCUUAACCUU